GGACCUAGCAAUACGGAUUGGCUAAAUGAUGAAAACCAUUAGAUUGUAUUGUUGUAUUUUUUUAUAAUUGUUGUAUUUUUUUUUUAAAUUGUUGUAUUAUCCUUUAAUUUGUUGUAUUGUUUCUUUUUUAUUCAAUCAAAAAAGCAUUCAAUAAUUGGACUAUUUAUUAAAAACAUUUGAGCAUUCCUCACAAAGAUUAAUUAAAAAUAAACCUUCAUUUAUUGCAAACAACACACAAAACAAACCAUACAUAAAAGCAUAAUAAUAAAAAAGACCUCGCAAUAAUUCCACAAAACACCACACACAAAAACAAAGCAUAAUU
rnacentral:lncRNA from 1 species